AGAAGAAGCCCUCCCUUCACGAGAUCAAAACCCUUGCUGAAAUUCUUGAAAGUUUCGACAUGGUUUUGCUUGUUAGAAAUGAUCUGGAAAUGAGACAAGGGAAGAUUGCUGCCCGACGCAGUGAGACUAAUGAGUUUGAUGGACAUCAUGAGCAAGAGAACAGAGAAACUAGCUACUCAAAAGCAUAAAAGACAGCCAUGCAAUGGUGAUUUGUAUAAAGAGCUCCUUCGAAGGUCUGUGCAAGCUUUCAGCAGGUACCUUUGGUUAUUCUCAUAAAUGAAUUAUCUAUCUCAUAGAAAGCUCCUUGAUAGGGAUUCAAAAGAAGUGUGCAGGUACCUUUUGGUACUCUUACAAAUUUAUCAUCAUAUCUCGUAUACCUUGCUUUUGCACCUACAAAAUCAAGAAUUGUCAUAUUAGAACUUCAUAUACUGGUUCUAGAUAUUUUGAUUUUAUCAUGUACAGCUUCUUUUGUCGACAUGAGGGAGAAUCUAGGACAAGAUUGUAACCAUAAUCAAAAGGGAGAUCUUCUGUGGUUACAAGUAUAUUACAG